rnacentral:lncRNA from 1 species
UCAAGUUCCUUUGUUCUGUCCCUUUAUAGUCAUCGCCCUCUGUCAUUACCCCUUGCUCCUGGGAAUCAUUGAAUUGCUGUCCUUCCCUAGAGUUUUGCUUUUUCCAGAAUGGCACAUAAUGGAAUCAUACAAUAAAUGGCUUUUUACACUUGACAUAACAAAGCUGAUAUAAACUUAGGUAUGUUACAUACAGUGCAAUGUACAGGUCUUAAAUAUAUACAGCCAGUGCAUUCUGAUAAAUGCACAUACCUAGGUUACUCAUACUCCUACUGAGAUAUAGAACAUUCUCCUCACCCCAUAAAGUUCCUUCCUGUCCCUUCAGUCAAUCCCUGCUCCUCCCUUACCUCCUCCCCCACAAGUUCAGCUCAGAUUAAAAUAAUCACUGUUCUGAUUAUUUUUCUAUCACAGAUUUUUUGCUUGUUCUUAAAAUUCAUACAAAUAUAAUUGUACAAUAUUUACUUUUGAGUGUGGCUUAUUUUGCUCAGUAUAAUCCUACAAUGAAUUUUAAUUCAUUCAUAAUGAAAGAUGAAAUAAAUAUACAAUGUUUCCUAUAUACCAGAAAGUCUCAUGGGUGCUUUACAUAUAUUAACUAGUCUAAUCCUUAAUAUAUGUUUACAGAGGCACUCUUUUUUGUUCCCAUUUUACAGAAGAAGAAACUUUAGUAUGAAAAGUCUGUCACUUGCCUGAAGCAACUAUAUCUAAAGGAGAGAACCAAAAUUGAGCAGACGAAGACAGAACUGUGAUAAGUUAAAAAUGAGGACUACCCUUGAUCCCAUGGGGAGUUCUGGACCUGGGGUGGCCCUUCAUGGGUGUCUCAAAUUGAGGCAAAUUAAUUGCACGUUUGUACUCCUCAAAUAAACCAGUCACUGUAAGUGAACUAGCCCCUCAAGAGUUGCCAUCACCUUAGGUGUGGCAUUUUUCUUUGGUCCAAGGAAAUUCCUAGUGAAUUGGCUGCACAAGCCAUUAGCAGCCAACACUUCCAGCAGUUGAACUUAGUUCUAAAAGAAGUCUCCAUUAGGGUCCACCAAUUAUGCCACUCAGAUAUACUUGCUUCUAAAAGUAAAUGCACAUAGGAUUUUGGUGGCUCUUGUUGCCUGGAGAAAUGUACAAGAUCAGUGGGACAAAUUAGCUGUCCACAGCAAUUUUCAGUGUUGCUGCUGAUACUUUUAGCAUCACAUUCCUCUACUACUCUCUCCUACAUUUCCUUCACCCUUGACAAGCAUCUCUGUGGUCUAGGUAGCUUACUUGGAGGGAUAAUCCAUAUCCUCAUCACUGAAGAGUCUGAAUACCUGGCCACGACAUCCUUCUCAGAUUAUAGCUGUUACACUUAACAAAAUUGGGAAGAGUAUCAAGAAACAUCCCACUGGAUUAGCUGAAUGCCAAACGUUUUCUUCUUGGCCAUCACUGUUUAACAAGACCCACAUCUGGAUGACAGGCUCAUUACCCACACCAGAAGUUAUGGUGACGUCUCUCUUUGUAUGCUGGUCUCAUAGCAGCCAUAAAGUUCAAUGGGACUCUUACUUUGUCUCCUUUACCCCUCAAGGAACCAAAACUUUAGGUUAUUUUUUGUACUCUCCUCCCAACCCCAUACCCAUGGAGGAAACAAUUUUAGACUACAGCUGGGAGUAUAUCAGUGCUUUGACAGGCCCAGGAUGCUACAGUAGCUAUGGAAUUCCUAGGCAGGGUCAUAAACUUUCCACCCAGGUAACUGACAAGAGUAGAUUCUAAGAAGCAAAAGAGGUGAGCAGUUCUAGUUUCCUUCCCCUUGGUGGAUCCCUUUAACUCUACCUUGCUGCACCUAGGAAGGUUAGUCAGUAUGAACUAUUAUCAAUGGGCUUCUGGCUGGGUUUGGUUAAGGGGAAGUCUAGGCAUGAAACUGAAGUAAGAGACUAAGUCUGGCACUGGCUAUUCCCUGCAGAACCUGGGACUGAAUGCUACCUCUGACCUCCUUGAGAGUCCUCCUGCAAUACAUUUCUCUCCUCUCUUGUCUCUUGAUUUCAGUAAUUGUUCCUUCAAGCUUUAGUGGUGUUAGAACUCUGCCUUUACCAGCUACUGGUCCAACAACCUUUUAGUCUUUCUACAUCACUCCUACAAAACUCUGUAAGUAGCCCCUUUAUGAAAAUUCUACUUGAAUUGUCCUAGUCUGAGUGUGUCAGUUGUUUCCUGCUUAGGCUGUAAAUGAUAUACCAACUCACUAAAAGGAGAAGGAAAGCUCCUAACAAUAACCCAUAAAACACAGAAAGAGAGGGAUCUACCAAGUCUCUGACCACAUCAUCUUCUCACCAUACCCAACUUAUUCUACUCCAUUCACACUGACCUCGGUGGUGUGGGCCUCUGGAUGCCAAAACUACUCUUGCUACACAAAUUCAUGACUCACCGUCCCAACUCAUUAAGGUGUCUAAUAUUAGAGUGCCCCUUAACUAAGAGGCUUUUCAUUCCUAUUCUACAUAAAAUAGCAAGACCUCAAUUCCCUUUAACUAUCUUAUACUGCUUUACUUUUCUACAUUACACUAACAUUAUUUUCUUGAUUUUUUUCUACAAGGAAAAAUCAACAGGAUUAAGUAAUGGCAAAAUCUGAGUUUCAUUCAUUGUUAUAGACACCAGUCUCAAACAGGAGUUGGCAUAGAGAAAAUACUCAAUAAAUAGGCUACUGGUUAAUAGCAUAUACUAUGUGGAUUCAAAUCUGGCCUCUACCACUCACUAGUGAGUGAACUCUGGCAAGUAAUAUAAGUGUACCAUGCCAAUUUUCUCAUCUGCAAAAUGGGGUAAUAAUAGUACACCUUUCUCAAGCUUAUAAUGAAUACUCAAUAAUUUAAUGUCCAUCAGGCAUUUAGAAGAGUGCCUGGUUUGGGGGAAGGGCUAUAUAAGUGUUUGAUCAUUUACUAUUCCACUAAAAUACUUUGCUAUGAAAAAACACAGUCCCUACAUAAGAACAAAUCACAAAGUAAUACCUAACCAUGUACUUAUUUCUAUUACAUAAAAAUACAUAAAGAAAAAAGUAACAGAAUUACCAAAAUGAAUUUUUUAAUCCAUAUCCAUGAUGGAAGACUUUAAUACACAUCUAUCACUAAAAAAGCUUGAAAGAAAAAGAACUUGAAUGUACAUACUAUAUCUGAAAACACAACUGGCUUGAGUUAAUGGGAAUAUAUUCUAUAUCCAAAAAUUAGAGAAUACAUGUUGUUUUUCAAAGAAAACUGGAGCAUUUAUAAAAGCUGACCAACAAAUAAUAUUACAUUCAGCUGGACAUCAACAUAAAAGCAACUCAAAAACAACCUCCUCCCAAAUCACUUGGGUUUCAACUAGUUAGCGAUUACUUCUAAUCAUGUAAGAAGUCUAGGAAUAAGCAGUCCAUAGCUGACAGAGCCAAUCAGAGGCUCCUUGGGAGCCCAAACCAUGGUUAACUUUUGCCACAUUGUGGUUUUUAUCAUGAUCAAAAUAUAGCUCUUCCAAAUCUAGGCCUUGAGUCUACUUUCAAGAAAAAGAAUAGGUAGGAUGAAUAGAACAUGGGUGAGGCAGACAAGCUGCAAAAUGUUCCCCCUAGUGACUCUAACAAUUUCUUAUGGCCAGCACAGUGGGACAAUGCCUCUCUGAGCUUCUGCGAUGCCUCACAGAUUGAGUAUUUCCAAUACUACUCAUCAACAACUUGAAAAAAAUCUUUUUAUUCUUUAAUAAAUAGGGGAGAUUGGACUACGGUCUAAUUUUUACUAUAAUAAACUAAAUCACUCAGGAGAUAUUCAGAAAUGCCUUUAUGAAUAUGCAAUAUACUAAUGUUUUAGAUUAAAUGACAUGUAUUACAUACAAAGCUAUAGAACGUAAUUUAGGGUUUAUUUCAGAGUAUAGCUAGAGACAUGUUUAUACCUAAACAAAAAGACUGAAAAUUAAGACUGAUGCUCCAAUCUAAGAUGAGACACUGAUAAAAGUAAUCCCACACUCAACAUGUAUACUUUUCAUUCCCAGUUUAAAUUAUUCUGUGGCCACUCAGAGAAGAGCUAAGGCAAUUUCAUGUUGAGUACCUUCCUAAUGUUCCCCUCCAAUGUGACUUCUCAAGUCAACAAAACAAGAAUCACCAAGAGAUUUUCCAAAAUUAAUCCACUUCCAGGUUUUGCUGCUCCACGAAUUUCACAUUUUUCCUAAGUUAAGAAGUAUCAUUAAAAGUACUCCCUCAUUCUUUAUACUCACAAAUUUUUCUGCAGUGAGUUUUCAGUUUGAGGAAUGUAAAAAAAUGGAAGCUUUCCAAUACUGAUGACAUUCAAUGGGACUUGUUCUCAAGAAUAAAUCCUCCUAUCUCUUAAAAGUUGAGAGAACACUGAAGGCUUUCCCAUAGUAACUACACUCAAUAUCUCUUCAUCUUCUGCUCAAUAAUAUAAAUGCUUUUGCUAUAAGGUUUUCCACAUUCCUUAGGUAAGUGCUCCUCUGUAGUGUUUUCUCAUGUGUGUUCUAAGUGAAAAGUGAAGACUUUUACUUUCUAAUGAUAUUCACAGGAUUUUCCCUAGUAUGAAUUGUCACAUGACUCCCUAGAUGUAGUCCUCAGAUUUAUUGCCAAUACAUAAUCUUUUCUGCACAUGAGGGUGAAAUUUGAGCUGAAAGCUUAUCACAAAGAUUAGACUCAUGGGGUUUCUCUCACGAGAGAAUUAACACAAGAGUUAUUGAAUGUUCCUUUAUACUGAACAGAUUCAAAGAAUGAGGGUGGUUCUCCUGAAGGUCUUUCCCUCAUUGAUUUCAUAACAAGCUUCUCAGAUGGUUCCCCAAAAUUUCUGUCCCCUGGUACUCAUAUUUUGUGUGGUCUUUUCCCACAUUGUGUCAGGACUGGUCUGUGUCAAAUACGGAAAUGAUAUGUCCUUCUAAGGCUAGGUCACAAAAGACAAUGCAUCUUUAUAUCAAAUGCUCUGGGAGGAAACUGCUUCUACAUCAUAAAGAUACUCAGCCCUGUGGAGAGUCCUACAUGGUAAAAAAAAAAAUGAUGAUUCCUUGCCAGCAACCUGCAAUAACUUGCCAGACAUGUGAGUGACCCAUUUUGGAAGUGGACUGUUCAUCAGUAAAGACACAGAUGACUGUAGCAGCCAUUGACAUCUUGACUAGAACCUCAAGAGAAAUACUGAGUCAGAACUACACAGCUAAGCUGUUCCGAAUUCCUGACCUAUAGAUAAUCAAUGUUUGUUGUUUAAAGCCACUAUGUUUAGAAGGAAAAUGUGUUAUACAGCAAUAGAUAACGCAUACAUCUAGUGUGAGUUAUCACACGUUGUCUGAGAGAUAUGAAAUCAAUGAAUGCGUUUCUAGUUAUUGUAGUCAAAUCCACCUAUUAUGGAUUCUCUUGUGCACAGAAAGGUAAGAGUUAGUGGUGAAAGAUUUUCCACAAUGAUUACAUUCAUAGGGUUUUUCUCCAGUUGUGAGUUCUUACAUGUUUCUUAACAGCUGAGAGAUUAUUAAAAGCUUUCCCACAGUUACUGCAUUCAUAGGGUUUCUCACCAGUAUGAAUUCUCUUGUGCACAGUAAGAGAAAAGCUACUGCUGAAGGAUUUUCCACACUGAUUACACUCAUAAGGUUUUUCUCCAGUAUGAGUUCUCAUAUGCUGGGUCAGAUAGGAGCUCUUCCUAAAGGUUUUCCCACAAUCAUUGCAUUCAUAAGGUUUCUCUCCUGUAUGAAUACUAUUGUGCCCAGUAAGGGAGGACCUGGUGCUGAAGGCUUUGCCACACUGAUUACAUUCAUGAUGAUUCUCCCGUGUAUGAAUUCUCUUGUGGCUUUUGAGGUUACAACUAGUGCGGAAAACAUGAAAGCACUGGUUACAUUCAUAGGGUUUUUCUCCAGUGUGAAUUCUUACAUGCAGUCUAAGGGAUGAAGGAUCGUUGAAGGCUUUCCCACAGUC